rnacentral:rRNA from 1 species
AUGGGCAAGCUACAAAGGGCGCGCGGCGGAUGCCUAGGGGCAAAGGGCCGAAGAAGGGCGCGGACAGCGGCGAUACGCCACGGGGAGUCGCAAGCAGACUGUGAUCCGUGGAUACCCGAAUGGGGCAACCCGGCCGCCGUAAUGGGCGGUCAUCCAUCGCUGAACACAUAGGCGAUGAGAAGGCAAGUCGGGGAACUGAAACAUCUAAGUACCCGGAGGAAAGGAAAUCGAAGAGACUCCCUCAGUAGCGGCGAGCGAACGGGGACCAGCCUAAACCAUUGACGUGUCAAGCCUGCCGGCGUUGCGUCAACGGGGUCGUGGGAUCUUUCGGGGAGCGCGGCAGACUCCCAAAGAGUUACCAAUCGGCGUUUUAGCGGAAGCGUCUGGAAAGGCGCGCCACAGCGGGUGACAGCCCCGUACGCGAAAAGGCGCCGACUCUUGAAAGACACCCGAGUAGCGCGGAGCACGAGGAACUUUGCGCGAAUUUGUGCGGACCACCGCAUAAGGCUAAGCACCCUUUGCCACCGAUAGCGCAACCAGUACCGUGAGGGAAAGGUGAAAAGCACCCCGGGAGGGGAGUGAAAUAGUACCUGAAACCGCGCGCCUACAAACAGUCGGAGGGCUAUGCCACCUCGGUGGAAUGCCUGACGGCGUGCCUUUUGCAGAAUGAGCCGGCGAGUUGCGUCUGUGCGGCAAGGUUAAGCGCUUCAAGCGCGGAGCCGCAGCGAAAGCGAGUCCGAACAGGGCGAACAGUCGUACGGAGCAGACCCGAAACUGCGCGAUCUAAGCCUGGUCAGGGUGAAGCGACAGUAACAUGUCGUGGAGGCCCGAACUGGUGGGCGUUGAAACGCCUUCGGAUGAAUUGGGUUUAGUCUGGUGAAAUGCCAACCGAGCGCAGAGAUAGCUGGUUCUCCCCGAAAUGUAUUGAGGUACAGCCUCGCGCAGUAUGCCAUGCAGGUAGAGCCACUGAAUGGGCUAGGGGCCCCACCAGGCUACCGAACCCAAUCAAACUCCGAAUGGCAUGGCAGUAAGCGCGGGAGUGAGACAGCGACGGAUGAGCGCCGUUGUCGAGAGGGCAAUAGCCCAGACCGCCCGCUAAGGCCCCUAAGGGCCGACUAAGUGUCAAAGGAUGUCGGAUCGCAUAGACAGCCAGGAGGUUGGCUUAGAAGCAGCCACCCUUUAAACAGUGCGUAACAGCUGACUGGCCGAAUGUGGUCCUGCGCCGAUAAUGUAAGGGGGCUUAAGUCGGCCGCCGAAGCGGCGGGAUCCGUAAGGAUCGGUAGGGGAGCGUUCCGCGGGCAGUGAAGCUCGAGCGCAAGCACGGGUGGAGCGCGCGGAAGUGAGAAUGUCGGCACGAGUAGCGAGAAGACGGGUGAGAAUCCCGUCCGCCGAAAGCCUAAGGUUUCUUCAGGCAGGUUCGUCCGCUGAAGGUUAGGCGGUCCUAAGUCGAGGGCGAAAGCCGUAGGCGAAUUGGACAGUUGGGUUAAUAUUCCCACCCCAGGUGACUGGAGCGAAGGGGGGACGCUGGAGAACGCGCGGACCGCGGCGUUGGUUGACCGCGGCGGCUCGUUAGGCCGCGCCGAUAGGCAAAUCCGUCGGCAUCAAGCGGCCGGGCGAGCCGGGAAGGGAGCCCCUCGGGGCGAGCGAACCCGUGCCGACCUCAGCCAAGAAAAGCCUCUAAGCGUUGAUAGGCAUCUGACCGUACCGCAAACCGACACAGGUAGGCAAGUCGAAAAGACUCAGGCGCGCGAGAGAAGUCCUGCUAAGGAACUCGGCAAUCUGGCCCCGUAACUUCGGAAGAAGGGGUGCCCCUGCUUGUUUCGGCUGAAACGCCGGAUGCAAACGGGGGUCGCAGCGAAGCGGGCCUGGCGACUGUUUACCAAAAACACAGCUCUCUGCAAAGAAGAAAUUCGACGUAUAGGGGGCGACGCCUGGCCAAUGCCCGUCGGUCAAGGGGAGAGGUCAGCCGCAAGGCAAAGCCUUAAACUGAAGCCCGGGUGAAUGCCGGCCGUAACUCUAACGGUCCUAUGGUAGCGAAAUUCCUUGUCGGGUAAGUUCCGACCCGCACGAAAGGCGUAACGAUCAGGCCGCUGUCUCAGCAGGACACUCGGUGAAACUGUAGUGCCCGUGAAGAUGCGGGCUACCCGCAGUAGGACGAAAAGACCCCGUGGAGCUUUACUACACUUUGAGAUUGCUCUUUGGUAUGGCCUGUAGAGCGUAGGUGGGAGCCGCAAGGCGCCAAUGGAACACCACCCUUGUCAUGCUGAAGCGCUAACCCGGACCGUCACCCGGUUCGGAGACAGUCUUAGACGGGUAGUUUGACUGGGGCGGUCACCUCCAAAAAGGUAACGGAGGUGUCCAAAGGUUCCCUCAGCGCGGUCGGAAAUCGCGCGUCGAGUGUAAGAGCACAAGGGAGCUUGACUGUGAGACCAACAGGUCGAACAGAGACGAAAGUCGGGUCUAGUGACCCUCAGGUUGCGCGUGGGCGCGCCUGGGUUAUCGGAUAAAAGCUACCCCGGGGAUAACAGGCUGAUCUUGCCCGAGCGUCCACAGCGACGGCAAGGUUUGGCACCUCGAUGUCGGCUCGCCGCAUCCUGGGGCUGAAGCAGGUCCCAAGGGUUUGUCUGUUCGCCAAUUAAAGCGGCACGCGAGCUGGGUUCAGAACGUCGUGAGACAGUAGAAUCGUCCUUGCUGUCUAUAAAUUCGGCCAUAUGCUGGAAAAUCUGAGUAUCUCGCGCUACGAAUCCGUCAAACGAUUCGUAACAAUGCGACGAGUGCAGACAAUCAGCAGGGAAGGCCAGACCAAACAGCGCAAUAUCGUUCGCGCCGAUCCGUCUGGAACCCUCAGAGACUAUACGCCGAACAUCUGACGAUGAAGAUAUAGUCCGAGCUGCGCGGCGACGCGCAGAGACAGAGCGAAACCUCUGUCCGCCUUGAUCCCAAUCAAGGUCAGUAAGGCCAAAAGCCCGAAAGUAACAGCACUGUCGGUCUCUAUCCACUGCGGGCGUAGGAUGCUUGAGAGGAGCUGUCCCUAGUACGAGAGGACCGGGAUGGACGGACCUCUGGUGUACCAGUUGUCCCGCCAGGGGCAGACGCUGGGUAGCCACGUCCGGAAGUAAUAAGCGCUGAAAGCAUCUAAGCGCCAAGUACGCCUCAAGAUUAAGCAUCCCAUCCGGUUAACGGAGUAAGGUCCCCGGCAGACCACCGGGUUGAUAGGCCGCAAAUGUAAGCGCAGCAAUGCGUUGAGUUGAGCGGUACUAACCGACCGAGGGCUUGCCCAUG